rnacentral:rRNA from 1 species
GGGCCCGCACAAGCGGUGGAGCAUGUGGUUUAAUUCGAUGAUACGCGAGGAACCUUACCAGGGCUUAAAUGUAAGUUGCAUAGAUCAGAGAUGGUCUUUUCUUCGGACUACUUACAAGGUGCUGCAUGGUUGUCGUCAGCUCGUGCCGUGAGGUGUCAGGUUAAGUCCUAUAACGAGCGCAACCCCUGUCGUUAGUUGCCAGCAAGUAAAGUUGGGCACUCUAGCGAGACUGCCGGUGCAAACCGCGAGGAAGGUGGGGAUGACGUCAAAUCAUCACGGCCCUUACGUCCUGGGCUACACACGUGCUACAAUGGCCGGUACAGAGAGCAGCCACUCCGCGAGGAGGAGCGAAUCUAUAAAACCGGUCUCAGUUCGGAUCGCAGUCUGCAACUCGACUGCGUG